rnacentral:RNase_P_RNA from 1 species
CAGGUCGGAGGGUCUGUCGCUCGCCUUUCAUAUAUAGGGCGAGAGGAAAGUCCGGGCAACACAGAGCACCAUACUCACGCAGCUAUCGGUAACGGUAGAGUAACGUGGAAGAGAACGACCGCCCCGCUGCUCCCCUCGGGAAGCGGCCGGAGGCAAGGGUGAGAAGGUGAGGUAAGAGCUCACCGGGCGGGAUAGCGAUAUUCCGUGCCGCACGUCUUGUGGGUUGCAAGGUCAAGUAUACCGGCAUUUAAGGGUUGCUCGCCCAUUGCCGGGGGGUAGACUGCUCACGUGCCGCCGCCUUCGCGGCCGCGGCCAGAUAAAUGACAGACGGCAUCGCCGAACUCUCUUUGCAGAAAGCAGGCGUGCCACAUAACUCGGCUUAUACUCCGGCCUGUGUU